CCUACGGGAGGCAGCAGUGGGGAAUUUUGGACAAUGGGCGCAAGCCUGAUCCAGCAAUGCCGCGUGAGUGAAGAAGGCCUUCGGGUUGUAAAGCUCUUUUGUCAGGGAAGAAACGGCUGAGGUUAAUACCUUCGGCUAAUGACGGUACCUGAAGAAUAAGCACCGGCUAACUACGUGCCAGCAGCCGCGGUAAUACGUAGGGUGCAAGCGUUAAUCGGAAUUACUGGGCGUAAAGCGUGCGCAGGCGGUUUUGUAAGUCUGACGUGAAAUCCCCGGGCUCAACCUGGGAAUUGCGUUGGAGACUGCAAGGCUGGAGUCUGGCAGAGGGGGGUAGAAUUCCACGUGUAGCAGUGAAAUGCGUAGAGAUGUGGAGGAACACCGAUGGCGAAGGCAGCCCCCUGGGUCAAGACUGACGCUCAUGCACGAAAGCGUGGGGAGCAAACAGGAUUAGAUACCCUGGUAGUCCACGCCCUAAACGAUGUCUACUAGUUGUCGGGUCUUAAUUGACUUGGUAACGCAGCUAACGCGUGAAGUAGACCGCCUGGGGAGUACGGUCGCAAGNUAAAACUCAAAUGAGUGAGNGNGAGAGNGCGAGACGACGACGAGGGAGGAGG
rnacentral:rRNA from 1 species